rnacentral:rRNA from 1 species
GCGACCUCAGCUCAGGCGGGAACACCCGCUGAGUUUAAGCAUAUCAAUAAGCGGAGGAAAAGAAACUAACCAGGAUUCCCCUA